UAUUUAUGUAAUGUUCUAAUUUUAUUUAUGUAAAUUCUGCGUGACUGUGACUUGUAAUGCGUGCAUGCUGAACUUUCGAGCCGCGUUCAAACGCUGGAGCGGAGGGAGUUGCCAUGGAAACGGAGCGGCAACACAACGACUGACAAGCAGGAAGCUCCGUUUCUCGCUGCUGUUUUUACUGUUUUCGAAGAAAAACAAAAGCACGGCAAGGCUCCAAGAUUUCACAAUUUCUGAAGGGAGCCGCAGACGGAGAAGUAAGGAACACAAGUGAACAGACUCAGAGCGGACCUCCUGUCGGACAACAACUCCCAGGCACAAUGAACAAUAUGAAGACUGAGGUGGAAGAACAAGAGUAGAAGACGAGUACAGAGGAAAAUGAUUAUCAACAUGUUGUUGUUAGUAGUAGUAGUAAUUUAUAGUUAUAGGUAAUUUAUUUAUAGUUAAUACUGUAAUUUAUUUGUUCAUGCUGUAUCGUUGCUUAAUAUGCUUGCACCUGUGCAUGUUUAUUUUUGUAUACUUGAUAAUUAAAUGUUUUGGAAGUAUUUCAUGGCUUAUGCUAUUUUAUAUCAACAAUAAAACAAUGAAUAUGGA